rnacentral:rRNA from 1 species
GACGAACGCUGGCGGCGUGCUUAACACAUGCAAGUCGAACGGGAUGGCGAACGGGUGAGUAACACGUGAGUAACCUGCCUUUUUCUUUGGGAUAACGCUCAGAAAUGGGUGCUAAUACUGGAUGGAGGGAGAUGGGCUCGCGGCUUAUCAGCUUGUUGGGGGGGUGAUGGCUUACCAAGGCUUUGACGGGUAGCCGGGAGGAGAGGGGGGGCGUUAACAUUGGGAGUGUGAGACGGCGCAGAAGCCGACGGGAGGCAGCAGUGGGGAAUGUGGCACAAUGGGGGGAACCUUGAUGCAGCGACGCCGCGGGAGGGAGGGAGGCCUUGGGGUUGUGAACCUCUUUCGCUCGUGUGCGUGUAGCGGGUAAAGAAGCGCCGGCUAACUACGUGCCAGCAGCCGCGGUAAUAC